rnacentral:rRNA from 1 species
UAGGGAAUCUUCCACAAUGGGCGAAAGCCUGAUGGAGCAACGCCGCGUGUGUGAUGAAGGCUUUGGGUCGUAAAGCACUGUUGUAUGGGAAGAACAGCUAGAAUAGGAAAUGAUUUUAGUUUGACGGUACCAUACCAGAAAGGGACGGCUAAAUACGUGCCA